UUUUGUUAACACGUGUGUAUAUAUAUAUAUGUGUGUGUGUGUGUGUGUGUGUGUGUGUCUAUACACACACACACACACACAUAUAUAUAUAUACAUACAUAUA
rnacentral:miRNA from 1 species